AACGAACGCUGGCGGCAUGCCUAACACAUGCAAGUCGACCGAAACCUUCGGUUCUGUGGGCGCACGGGUGGUUACGGGUUGGGAAUCUGCCCUGGGUUUGGGAUUAACGGUGGGAAACAACGCCUAUUACGGAUGAAGAACGAAAGUCAAAAGAUUUAUCGCCCAGGGAUGAGCCCGCGUAGGAUUAGCUAGUUGGUGGGGUAAAGGCCUACCAAGGCGACGAUCCUUAGCUGGUCUGAGAGGAUGAUCAGCCACACUGGGACUGAGACACGGCCCAGACUCCUACGGGAGGCAGCAGUGGGGAAUAUUGGACAAUGGGCGAAAGCCUGAUCCAGCAAUGCCGCGUGAGUGAUGAAGGCCUUAGGGUUGUAAAGCUCUUUUACCCGGGAUGAUAAUGACAGUACCGGGAGAAUAAGCCCCGGCUAACUCCGUG
rnacentral:rRNA from 1 species